AGAGAAUGCGAAAUUGCGAGGACAAAAGAAGUGAAACACGACAAAUCAUUUUUGCAAUUUACGUUUUCAAAAGGCAUAUGAGACAGGAGAAGUUAUUGUCUGCAAUAAAGACCACCGUAGUCACGAGUGUCUCCACUUGACCCCACAUUUUCCCUAUCAUUCGCUCUCUGCCAUUCGAUUAUUGAGCCCUACUCUUAUCCGUUAUU